rnacentral:tRNA from 1 species
GUCCUUGUAGCUUACAGAAAGCAUGACACUGAAGAUGUCAAGACGGCUGCCCCCACGCACCCAAGGACA